rnacentral:snRNA from 1 species
AGCUUUGCGCAGUGGCAGUAUCAUAGCUAAUGAGAUGAAUCCGAGGCGUGAUUAUUGCUAGUUGUAAUCUUUUCUAUUAGUCAAAUACAUGAACAACUAUUUGGCCACUCUAUAGU